rnacentral:misc_RNA from 1 species
CCAGUGGGUCACCUUAAUCCAGGCUCUUGCUGCUCGACCUGGAGGUCCUCCACAUAUUCGACUUACAGGAAUUGAUGAUUCAACAUCAGCUUAUGCUCGUGGAGGAGGACUUGAUGUAGUGGGGAAGAGACUAUCAAGGCUUGCUGAGUCGUGUAAUGUACCCUUUGAGUUCCAUGCUGCUGCAGUUUCUGCUUCUGAAAUUCAACUGGAGAAUCUUGGAAUUCAGCCUGGUGAAGCUAUUGCAGUUAAUUUUGCAUUAACACUUCACCACUUGCCUGAUGAAAGUGUGGGUACUCAAAAUCAUCGGGACAGGCUGUUGAGGUUGGCCAAGAGCUUAUCUCCCAAGGUAGUAACUCUUGUUGAGCAAGAAUCCAAUACUAAUACUGCCCCGUUCCUUCCCCG